CAGAAUAAAUUUGCAGGCAGCGGAAAAAUACGUAGCGAAUAUAGGAACUUUCUGGAACAAAAAUAGUUGGCAAUCGGAUAUUUGUCAAUUAGAAAUUUCCCAUGAAGUAUAACUGUGUUAUGCACACAUACAUAUAUGCAAGAGUGCCACGCCCCCGCCGCCCAGUGCCGCACCACAUGACAGCAAGUCAACAGGAGGACACCCACGAAUGGAACACGCGACUGCCGAAUGUCAAAUUCAAUUACAAAGCCAACUCCACGGGGAAUUAGGACUUGGGCGUUGUGGAUGUAGGGGGCGUGGCACAACCCCAGCAUCGGUCGGUCGACAGUAUCUUCGCCCAUCCCCUUUGGUAGUGUUCAAAGAAACCAAUGAGCUGUCAUUACAAUUAAAAAUAAAGUAAAAAUGCAAAAAACAAAAUACAAAACGAAAUGAAAUGAAACAAGAACAACUGUCGAGCAGCCCAUCAAUCCGAAUCGAUGAUGCCGCCGCAGAGAUACAGAUACAGAUACAAAAUGAAAAACACCAAAAGGCAGAAGUAAAAAAAAAAAUAAAAUUGCAAUGAGAGAUUCAUCGUAAAUGCAAAUUAAAUGCCUCGGAACCGUCGUUCGCUGCAUAUUUUGGCCAAUAUCCAAGGAAUGUUUUUUAAUCAGCACAUAAAAAAUAUUGCGCGUCUACAAUUUUUGCUUCUUUUUUGUUUUAUUUUUUUUUUUCAACAAUUUCUCGCGAUCCGAUUGGUUUUGAACCGACUCGAAUCGAAUCACAUCGCAUUGCAUCGUAUCGCGGCGAAUUCGUUCGAUUUAUUUAAUUGCAUUUUAAUUUAUUUGAAUUAUUUUCGUUGGCAUUAAUCGCCGCUCGGGAAUUUCAAUUAUAAUAAAACUUGAAAAAGAGCUGAAGCAUUUUUCAAUAGUGCAAGUGUGCAAUCGAAAACCAAUUAUAAGAAAGCAUUUUAUAGUCGGUUUCGAGCAUUACAUAUAUCUCAAUCCCUUUCACCCAGCCCCACCGCAUAUCAGCAACAAUGAAAAUAAACCAACUGGCAAUCAAAUCGACCGGAAUCGAAACUACCAAAAAAAUAUAUCCGGUUUAAGCCAUAAUGGUAACCAUAAUGGCUACUGUGUUCGGUCUAAUCGAUAAUACAAUUAAUUAUUGAUUGGGCAGCUGUAACUUUAUUCAUUAGAUUAUUAGUACGAAAAUCAAACUAUUGAAGCAAUAAAUAAUAAAAUAAACAAAAAAUAAUAAUAAAUAAUAAAUAGACUGAGGUAUGAUGGGAAUUAUGAUUUUAUGUUAUGUACCGCCCAAAAAGGAGCAUCAAGAUAUGCAUCAUCAACUUCAUUUCCCACAUUUGACCCAAGAUUUGCCGUUUGAACAGGGCCAUAAAACCACUUAACCUAAAAGCCUCACAACCAAUGCCAAUUGCCAGUGGCCGUGGAAAUGUGCAUAAAUCGAGCAAUUUAUAAUUCAUAUGGAAUCAUUUUUAUCUCCAAGCCUCAACCACAUACGGUCAAAGUGAAAUUUCCAGCCAGAAUUCGAUUGCAAUUCAGUGCAGAUGGGAUGGUUCUGUUCUGCUUCGCCGGCAAGAUCACGUACAUCCCGUAUUAUGGCAAAUAAAUGUGCUCAAGGAUACAUACUGUGCGAUGGGGGGGAUUAUUACGAAAAGUUUAAAAAUUGAUUUUCAUCUGGCGAAAUGCGAAAUGGGAAAUGCCGCCGCAUAAAAGGAUUUACCCUCUCAUAUUGGAAUUGAUUUGGUUCAACGUAAACAUAAAUAAAAUAUGAACAGCGAGUGGUGAGUCCUGCUGGCUGAGUAAAUAUUUUCCGAGCAGCGGCGUCUCCUUUGAGCAUUUCGCUGUGUGCAUCAAGGUGUCCUUUUUGGCCCCCUCAUCCGGCUCAUCAGCAGUCCGGUGGCGAGCUGGUCAAAUAAAGCCGUUAGUAAGUAUUUCAUAAGUCGCCGGAGAGGAUGGUCCUCGAUGGAUGGUCCACGAUGGUCCAGAGCCAGUCCCGGCCAGAUAAGUAAGCAAUAAGCCCCGAGCUGAUGGACAGCGCAACUUUCUGAGCAGCCUGGCACACGUCCGCCUAAUACAAACAAGGACAUGAGCUCGAUUCGUGACUGAAAAGUUUCCUGCCCCGGCACAUGGACUCUAUCGUACUUUCCGUAUUUUAUUUCCAUCAUUUUUACUCGAAUUGCGAGCUUCGCCUUUCGCCUUUCGUAUUUUUUUUUUUUUUUAUUUUCAGUCUACGCUCGGUCGAGCAAAUGUCCGAAACUUUGGCGCUCGCCUCGGCGAAUGUUUCAGAUAAAAAUUUGUUAUUUAUGGCUUAAGGUUUCAAGCUGAAGAGUUCUGCUCAAUUUGCGGCCCCAAAACGAGCGAAAGAACCACUGAAAAUGUUGAAGUGGAAUGAAAAUGCAAUAAAAGUUUUUAAGCCAAGUAACUUUUUAUGAAAUGUACGGCAGUCUUAACCGGAAAUGUGAUGUUAGAAAGUAUAACAAGUUUAUUGUUAAUAUAUUUUACAAUAUAAAUUGAGAUUAUUUCUUAAAAAAAAUGGGUUUCUAAAGUCUCAGGCGCUUCUGCAAAAGUCCUUCAGUCAACUUAAUAAAGUCUUCUAUUUCAGCUUACGAUGUUCUACGAAAUCUUUUUUGCUGGCAUAGUAGUCCUUUGAAAUAUCAAAAGGGUUUGGAUUUAUGUAGGUUAGCUGCUCUGAAUGCAGCCACAAAUAAGCCAGAAACUUGACUCCAAUUUCGAGGAGAGACUGCUGCGAAAGCCAAUCAAAUUCUAAACUCAGAUUAAAACGUCGAGCGAUUAAUUGCGCACAAUUAAAACCAACGCCUAGUCAGAGACAGAAUGAGAUUUCUGGUCUCAUUAAACAGAGUUCAACAACUUUUUGCCCUGAGUGAAGGAAUCAUAAAAAUCAAAAGCUUGAGGACGUCGAGGAGCAGCGGAGUUGUAAGUGAGCCCGGGCCAAAAUCAAACCAUCAAAGUGCCGGUAAUAGUUUCGGGUUGUAAAACUCACACGAACAAUAAGCGCGAUGAACUCAAUGCCCAUCUCUUUCUCAUGCCAUACGGCCCUCUCUGUCUCUCCUCUCUCUGUCUCUCUGUCUCUGGGCAUUAAUGGGCAUACGGAUGUCUGAGACGGCGGCGCAAUUUACAUAAAAAACGCAGCCGCAAGGUGUGGGCCGACGUAUCCACAAGAUACUCGCAUUCACAGAUGCAGAUACAUACGCGCACUGAAAGUGGCAAACAUAUUUUAUGUAAUUUGUCUUUGUUUCGUGUAAUAAAAUGAAAAUAAAAUUGUGAAUUGCC